rfam:Triticum urartu cultivar G1812 contig845983, whole genome shotgun sequence.
AUCAUACUCCUUUCAUCCGGAAAUACUUGUCGGAGAAAUAGAUAUAUCUAGACGCAUUUUAGUUUUAGAUGUAUCCAUUUUUACCUAUUUCUCCGACAAGUAUUUUCGGACGGAGUGAGUACCAU